rnacentral:tRNA from 1 species
GCCUUCGUGGUGAAAAGGUAACACACUCGGCACGUAUUCGAGAGAUCCAGGUUCGAGUCCCAGUAAAGGCA